rnacentral:rRNA from 1 species
CUCGUAGGCGGUUCGUCGCGUCCGGUGUGAAAGUCCAUCGCUUAACGGUGGAUCUGCGCCGGGUACGGGCGGGCUGGAGUGCGGUAGGGGAGACUGGAAUUCCCGGUGUAACGGUGGAAUGUGUAGAUAUCGGGAAGAACACCAAUGGCGAAGGCAGGUCUCUGGGCCGUCACUGACGCUGAGGAGCGAAAGCGUGGGGAGGCGAAACA